rnacentral:rRNA from 1 species
CCUACGGGUGGCAGCAGUGGGGAAUAUUGGACAAUGGGCGAAAGCCUGAUCCAGCCAUGCCGCGUGUGUGAAGAAGGCCUUCGGGUUGUAAAGCACUUUCAGUGGGGAAGAAAGCCUUGGGGCUAAUACCCUCGAGGAAGGACAUCACCCACAGAAGAAGCACCGGCUAACUCCGUGCCAGCAGCCGCGGUAAUACGGAGGGUGCGAGCGUUAAUCGGAAUUACUGGGCGUAAAGCGCGCGUAGGCGGUCUGAUAAGCCGGUUGUGAAAGCCCCGGGCUCAACCUGGGAACGGCAUCCGGAACUGUCAGGCUAGAGGGCAGGAGAGGAAGGUAGAUUUCCCGGUGUAGCGGUGAAAUGCGUAGAGAUCGGGAGGAAUACCAGUGGCGAAGGCGGCCUUCUGGACUGACACUGACGCUGAGGUGCGAAAGCGUGGGUAGCAAACAGGAUUAGAUACCCCGGUAGUC